rnacentral:rRNA from 1 species
UACGUAGGGUGCGAGCGUUGUCCGGAAUUACUGGGCGUAAAGAGCUCGUAGGUGGUUUGUCGCGUUGUUCGUGAAAACUCACAGCUUAACUGUGGGCGUGCGGGCGAUACGGGCAGACUGGAGUACUGCAGGGGAGACUGGAAUUCCUGGUGUAGCGGUGGAAUGCGCAGAUAUCAGGAGGAACACCGGUGGCGAAGGCGGAUCUCUGGGCCAUAACUGACGCUGAGGAGCGAAAGCAUGGGGAGCAAACAGG